CGUAAACUACCCUGUAGAUCCGGGCUUUUGUAGACUGCGUAGCAUUCAGAAGCUCGUCUCUACAGGUAUCUUGCGA
rfam:Stegodyphus mimosarum contig122474, whole genome shotgun sequence.